GCCAGGCAUCGUGGUGUGUGCCUGUAAUCCCAGCUACUUGGGAGGCUGAGGCAGGAGAAUCACUUGAACCCAGGAGACAGAGGUUGCAGUGAGCUGAAAUCGUGCCACUGUACUCCAGCCUGGGUGAUAGAGUGAGACUCUGUCUCAA
ensembl:misc_RNA Metazoa_SRP Metazoan signal recognition particle RNA